AUUGUUAAGAACCUCCACCAGAAUCUGUAAAUGCAAUGAUACAACAGAAGAACGAAAAAUGUUAAAAUGAGAAAAUUCAGUUAAUAUACACUAUCCAGAAAAGUUUUGAAAAACAUAUUCUAAAAGGAACUCAACAAAAAAAUAUAUAAAUAAAUAACACACAGAAGAAGUUCACAUACAUGCUAUUUCACAUUAAUUUGUUGCAUGUGUAUGUAUUAAUGUGUAUCAUUCUUUUCCCAUUGUUUUCUGUAAGCAUGCUAGUGACUUUUCACAAGGACCAACCAAAUUGAAAUUUGCCCUCCAUAAUGUAAACAUAACAAUAAAUUUUAGACCGCAAAACACCAGCAAUUACCAAUUAAAAGCAAGUUAUUAGAUAUGGUGACGGCCUCCUAUAAAAGUAAUUUAAAAAAAUUGAUAAAUGAAAAGAAAAGAAACAAAGAAGACAAAUGAGGGAUUGCAUGGAACAAGCGGUGUACUACACGCCUAACUAUCCUCUCAAAAAUAAGUGUCUAGUCAUUUUGAAUAAUCUACGUGUGCAAAUUCAUGAAACUUUGCAGGCUUUGGGAAGGGCUAAAUGUACACAGCCUUCACCUUCCAUACAAGGAGGCUCUUUCUUGAUUUGAACCCACUGCCUCCAAUUUAUAAUGAGGUGAUCUUACCAUUACACAAAAGCUCAACCUCUAGAAAAACAACAAAUAUGAAAUCGUUGCACAAUCAAAGCAGGGAAGUACCAAAAUCACGAAGCAUGCAAUUAAAAAUAAUUACUAGAGAAGGAUCAUAAGCACACGUUAAAAGAUCACCAAACCCCAUGGAAAGCAAAACAAAGCCCUCUAAUUCUAAAUUAUUGAAUGAAUGUGUGGCAACAGGCUAUUUGGUUAAUAAAUAAUCCCUCACCAUCUCAAAGUCAAUAUCAUUCAAUAAUAAUUUCAAUUUCCAAUUACUCGUUUCAUCCAACCACAUCAACCAAGAUAAUACAAUCUUGUGCCAUAAAGCCCAUCAAUGGACCUAGCAACUUGGAAUUAGCCCUAUAUUACUUGCCCAUCAAAGGAACAACACCUAGAAUCUCCAAAAUACACAACCAAAUAUUACCUAUCACUCAUUAGCGCCUUCAUAGUAGGACAAAUGAAGGAAUGUUAUUGGAAGAUUAUAAGAUUGUUUAAAGCUUUCCAUAUAACAUUUUCUACAAAACAACAAUCAUUAUUGCUAAUGUAGAUAACAAAGACUGCAUCAUAAAAUCCACAGCACUGCUACCACAACGACUGCUAUUUAAAGCCAUGGAUAUAAAUAGAUCUCUUUUUUUUUUUUUUUUUUU
rnacentral:misc_RNA from 1 species